UCGUUCCCCCUUCUGACAGUCAGCUGGCCUAUCCCACCAACCUCACCCCACUUCACCCCACCUCUUCUAUUUCUUCCUCUUCUUCACCCCUCUUUCUCCUCGUUCUCCUCCUGUCGUACACUUCGAGAGCGCUUGUCUUUCUCUCUCCCACCAAAAACUCAUUUCUCUUUCUCUCAACGCAAGUCAUACGAACGCUAACCUCUUAUCCAACGGAAUAACAGAAGAUUUUACGAUCCUCCGAAACAUCUAGCCCUUCCUCGAUAUGCAUCAGCGACCUGCCUUAAUGUAGCGUGCAUAUGUAAUAACGAUUAGCCUAUGCCGGAUA